rnacentral:lncRNA from 1 species
AUACCAAAAUUAGGCAAGUUGAAAGAUAAAACAAAAUCAAUUCAUUUUGCCUAAAUAGAAAUAUACUUCUCUUCUCCUUUUUACAAAUUUAUUCAACUUUCAGAUUUUAACGAUGAUUGUGAACGACAAAUCUGAAAUUUCUUUUCAAUAAUACCAAACAAAAAAAAAUUAUGUAGUAUUUCAAACAUUCAAUCAAAUUAUCCAAGCAUGGAGCAUUACAAAAUAUUGAGAACCCAUAAUUCAAGACAUCAUGCCACAUGCAAAAUAUAUUAUGUGUUAAGUCAUGCAUUAAAAUAACAAGCAUGUCAAUGAUCAAAAUCAAUUCUUUUCAAAUAAACUCCCCCUAUUUAAAUAUAAUCUUGCACUGAUUUCAUCCUUAAGGUGUGUUUCCAAGUGAUUAAAGCUUGACUUGAUUCUUCUUAGAUACUUUUAUUUACUUUGUCAUUCAUUUUUACUUUCUUAUGCUCUAUACUCUAUUUGCUCCCUAUCCGGUGGAGUUGGAAGGGGCACGAGGUACUACCACUAGCCUCCCUCUUGUGCCGUCCCUAAUAUACCCUACACUGAAUAGUUGGGUCAAAUAGUGCCGGGUACUACCACUAGCCUCCCCAUUGGCACCAUCCCUAUGAUGAGCAAUAUAGAAAGGUUAAAAUGUUCACUUUAAACUCUCCCUCUAUUUAAGUGUAAUUCAUUACGGAUUUUAUCCUUCCAAAAGAAUGCUCACACAAGUGCUGAAUAUAUUAUGCUUGUUUUGCUUUUUCUUAAGAUUGGAGUAUUUGCCUUUACUUAGAUUUUACUUCUCU